AUGGGAGGGAGUGGUCGGUGGUUGUGGAAAUUUCAAGGGGAUUGACAAAGACCUGCACAGAUAACCUCCAGAUGACCUCUGAAAGAUGAAUUAAUCUCAUUAGAUGGAGAAGUAGAAGUGUAAAAAGUGCCAGUCUAAAUCCUCCACCCUGUGAUAAAAACAAACAGAACCAGAACACUACAUUCCCAAAAGUUGGACCAGACUUGGACUUUUUGAAUUCUGCUAACCUCAUGCAGUUUUAGAUUUGUCCACUGGUAUGGGGAUUUGUUGGUUUUAGAGGAAGGCUAUAUAUCACUGCAUUGAAUCGAGAGCAAAUGCGGCGAAAAGGAAAACUGAACCUACCUACCGAUGCGCCUCAAUCAGCUGAUCCAACGUAAGUAGGUAAA